UUGAGCAAAGACAGCAUCGUCCUGUCGGGCGUCUUCACAAAGUACCUGCAUUCAGAGAAUCAUGUCGGCCAGGCCGAUAUGAGAGUCCCUUUUGGGGCCUUAGCUCAGCUGGGAGAGCACCUGCUUUGCAAGCAGGGGGUCGUCGGUUCGAUCCCGACAGGCUCCACCACGUUCGAGCAUGUUCCGGAAAGUAUUUCCGGGUCUGUAGCUCAGGUGGUUAGAGCGCACCCCUGAUAAGGGUGAGGUCGGUAGUUCGAGUCUACCCAGACCCACCAUUCUCUGAAUGACGCAUACAAUCGAUCUUUAUACGCAUCAGCACUGUGGCUGGUACGUGUUCUUUUAAAACUUGUGACGUAGCGAGCGUUUGAGAUGUUCUAUCAGACGUGUCGUGAGGCUAAGGCGAGAGACGCAAGUCUCUUUAUUGAUUGAGUCGUUAUAUUCGUAUCCGGGCUUUGUACCCCCGGGUCACAUGUAUAACCCAAGGCAACUUGCGGUUAUAU
rnacentral:misc_RNA from 1 species